CGCAGCUAACUGUGUGAAAUCGUGUGAACUGCAGGACACAUGAACAUCGACAUUUUGAACGCACAUUGCGGUCCAUGCUAAUGUUUAACUUGUUAGACUGCAUGGACCACGUAUGGUUGAGUGUCGUAAAUAAUAAGCAGAACAAAUUGUUUUUAUUAAAAACAUUGGGGUUAUGAUAGUCUUAGUACUAUCAUGCUCUUAAGUUGUGUUAUAUAUGUGUACAUUUGAAUGUACCCAAUAAAAUGUAAUAUUACAUUAAGAGGUAUAUAUCAUAGUCAUUGGAUUAUUUUACUUUGAUCAUUGUUAUAUAUUCUUGCGUAAUAUUACUAGGGGCUAUUUGUUAAUAAUGUACAAAAAAAAGAAACAUUUAAAGCGACCUCAACUCAUGCGUGACUACCCCCUGAAUUUAAGCAUAUUAAUAAGCGGAGGAAAAGAAACUAACCAGG
rnacentral:rRNA from 1 species